CAGUCGCCGCGGGAAUACGAAGGUCCCGAGCGUUGUUCGGAAUCACUGGGCGUAAAGGGAGCGUAGGCGGCGUGGUAAGUCAGAUGUGAAAUCCCGGGGCUCAACCCCGGAACUGCAUCCGAUACUGCCGUGCUAGAGGAUUGGAGAGGUAGCUGGAAUUCUUGGUGUAGCAGUGAAAUGCGUGGAGAUCAAGAGGAACACUCGUGGCGAAAGCGAGCUACUGGACAAUAUCUGACGCUGAGGCUCGAAGGCCAGGGUAGCGAAAGGGAUUAGAUACCCCCGUAGUCCCUGUCUCUUAUAU
rnacentral:rRNA from 1 species